GGCAACCUGAUGGGGUCCCUUUUCAAGCUGUGGAACCUUUGUUCUUUCUCUGUUUGCAAUAAAUCUUGCCACUGCUCACUCUUUGGGUCCACACUGCUUUUAUGAGCUGUAACACUCACCGCGAAGGUCCGCAGCUUCACUCCUGAAGCCAGCGAGACCACGAGCCUACUGGGAGGAACGAACAACUCCCGACGCGCCGCCUUAAGAGCUGUAACACUCACCGCGAAGGUCUGCAGCUUCACUCCUGAGCCAGCGAGACCACGAACCCACCAGAAGGAAAAAACUCCGAACACAUCUGAACAUCAGAAGCAACAAACUCCGGACACGCCGCCUUUAAGAACUGUAACACUCACUGCGAGGGUCCGCGGCUUCAUUCUUGAAGUGAGUGAGACCAAGAACCCACCAGUUCUGGACACAAUUUCAAGUCCUCAGGUGCCAUCAAUAUUCUGAAAAUGGCAGUGAUUUUUAUUCAACCUGUAUAAGGCACUUUCACCAUGUACCUGGAAGCAACAUCUACAUCUUUUUCAGCAAUCUAGAUGCUGGGGACACAAGGUCCACCUUCCAGGAAUAUGGCCAUGACACCAGAAAUCACAAACAUGAUGAGAAUGGAAUGACUGGGGAAGAAGUGCCAGAUGCUUCACUUGUAAAUGAAGACCCAGCCUCUGGGGAUGCAGAUACCACCUCCCUGAAGAAGCUGAAUAUCUGCAGAUAAGUGGAGUUCACCAAUGAUGAGGAGCGGGAUGGAGAAAGGAGGUAGGGAGAGUCAUCCAAGGAACAUGAGCAACAUGUUAAAAGCAAUAUGAAGAGCUACGGCCAAGUUCAUGCAGUCACAGGCAAUGACAACUAUAUCACCAAUGCUGCCUGGCUGAGAGUGAUUUAAGACAUCAUUGAUUGGAAGGUAUAUUUUUAUUUGAGAGAAGUUAAAAUGUGCAUGUUAGAAUCAAUGACAUUAUAUAUUACGGAGACUGUUAGAUUAUGUUGAUUCUUGAUUCCCACUCUUUGGUAGUAACUGAGAUGGUUCUGGAUGGGAGGUGAUUUCUGCUUUGCUGGGAAACACAUUGCACAUGUUUCCUGUUUGGUGCACAGGACAGGGUUCCUCAGUUAGUGAAUAAGCCUGGUGGAUUAUGCACUCAACUCGCACAGCUAUGAGUGCACACUCGUGCAGAAACAGACACUCUCCUUGCCAUCUGAUGCCUAAAUUUAAGUAUAUGCAAAGAUUUCCUAUAGCCUAAUAAAUAGCAAAGGUCUACCAUGGGUAGUUACAGAAAAUAGACAUAUAUUCCCAGGGAGAAAAAAAAAGCAGGUUUUCAAAAAAUCUGUUUGAAUAACUAAAAAUCGCUACCAUUUAUUCAGGGCUUACUACAUGCCAGGCACUAUGGUAAGAAUUCUGUCAACAUUUCCCCCAUUUAAUCUCCCACAACUAACAACCUUACACAGACGAUGUAAAUAUAAUCCUUUUAUAAAUGAAAAAAGUGAAACUCUAGACUAGGUAAGUGAUGUGCUCCAGGAAACAUGCUAGGAGGGGGCAGAGCUAGGUUUUGAGUCCUGGUUUGUUUGAGUCUAAUCAGUGUACUAGACAGUCUUCUAUAUUCUACAUUGAUUAUAUCUAAUCAAAUAAAUAACUGCUUCCAACUUACUGAAAUUACAUUAAAGUUGGAGGGAAUUUUUGUAUCUCUACUAUAACUCACUUUUCUUACUGGAUAACUCUAAGAUACCUCAGGAAAACAUACUUUAUGAAAAUGAAUAUAAUUAAGGAAUAAUAGUAGAAAGCAUAGAUUUAUCUUUUUUCCCUAAAUUGAGAAUGACUUAAAAAUCAAUUUCCCAAGGACACCUGUCACCUCCAAUUACCCAUUUGAAAAUUAUUCAUUCUGCCUCAUGACUACACAAUAAUGUGUAUAUUAUACAUCAAAACCACUUUUUUGAAAAAUGAUUAAACAAAUUAAAAAUAGUUCUUAUAUGACCACAGAGGAAAUCUAUAGGAAAAAAUAGUUAUCAUACAUUAAAAUACAGGGGCAAGUGAUUUACUGGUGUACUUCAGAUCACAUUUCUAUAAUUUGUAAAUUUAUUCUUUCAUGCAAUAGAUGGAACUGAAGUUAGGAUGUUUCAAUAAAUCAGAAAAAAAACAGCCUAAUAAUCUCUUUCUAUACAUCACUGGUCUAUGGCAAUUUGAACAGUCACUAAUGUUCAUUCUUUAAUUUAGCGAGUAGAUAUUAUUUUCUUACCAUUUUUCCACAGUACUGAUUCUUCACAUUCCUACCACUAAGUUACAUAAAGCAAUGAUUCUCAACCUUGACCAUACAUUGGAAUCACCUAGGAGAGCUUAAAAAAAUAUUAAUGCUGGGGUCUCACCCCAGAGCUUAUGAUUUAAUUGAUUGGGAGUAUGGCCUGUGCAUCAGGAUUUUUAAAAGCUCCUCAAUCAUCCCCAGAUGAUUCUAAUGUGUAGCCAAAGUUGACAACCACUAAUAUGAAGAGUUAGAUAAUCAAAAACACAUCUGUCAGUUUGAGAAGGAAGGCUGACUCAAAUAGCUUAACAGUGAUACUUUUGAAUUAGCUACAGAUUUCUUUGUGUAUAUUAUAUAUGUUCUUAUAACACCAUAGAUAAUGGAGACUUAGUUAUGUUGCCAAAUACACUAGGCAUUUCAUGAACCAAAAAAUAUAACCAGAUCCUUAUCUGAUUAUAACUUUGCUCCUAAAAUUAUCUUAUUUGUUUUUAGAAUUAUAUAACAAUUUGUGUUUGGAUCAUACCACCAUAAAAUCCACUACUACUACUGUCUUGGGGGUGUACGUGGGAGUGUGUAGUAAAAAGGUUUAAAAUUUAUAACUUGCCAUCUUGGGCAGCAAUCCUGGCCAAGUUUCUUAAAAGACAAUUUGAUACACUAAUAAAACUUCUGCCAAAAUAAUCUUUUACAGAGCCAAAGUAACUUUAGGUAUGAUAAGCUGGCCCCAAUGCAUGAACUUAUGAAACAAACAGACAGUAACAGGCUAUCUGUACUUCUGAUAUUACUGUUUUCUUGAAAAAUAUACAUAGAAGAAAGUAAGAUUUUGUAUAACAAGUGGUAGAGAUGCCCCCAAAUAAUACUUUCUAUUCACAUGUAACUUUAUAAUCUGUAAAGCUUCUUUACAAUAAAAUUCCUUAUUUGGUUUCUGUGGUUAUUUAAAGUCACUUGACUCCUUGGUAAUGUUCUUAAAUAAAUAUCUUUCCAGCUCAAGUGGUAUACUAAUAAGGUAAUUUAAAAGAAAAUUCAUGAUUGGUUGAUGAGAAGCUGUCAUGAUGCUGUCAAGAAAGUUAAGGUAACUCACUAUGAUGUUUAUAUGUAGCAUUAUUGCAGUUUCUAACUAGCACAUUUACCUCUGGUUCAGAUUAUACAUCAAUACUCCACUUUACCUAGCUCCUUUAAUAUUAUGCCUUCUAAAUAGACAAUUGGCAACUACAAUAGCAAAUACUCUGUAAGAGGAAAAUAUGACCUCUUAAGAGGAAAGUGUCAUCUACUGGGACUUGAUGUCAGCAAAUGAAUAUUCAUUCAAAUAAACAUCUGUUACUUCCACAAGCCACUGCAGUAAAUCAGUUUUAAGAAGCUGUACAGAGAUGAAUACCAUAUCACCUUUCCUCACCCCAAAUCAAUCUCUUUAAACUGGGAUCCCUGUUGUCUGGAUUUUACAUUGCACAUACCACAUUAAAACACAUUGUAGCUAGGCAAUACAGAGCCUGUGCAUGUGCUCCUGAUGUCAGUCCCCGAUAUUGGUUUUAACUUACUUAAUAUUUGCAGUACUCAAGUUACAUGUGUUUGUCAAGUUAUGUGGUUGAGAUUGCUGCAGUGUCAGUCCUCAUUUGUAGUGUCUUUAACAAACAAGUGCUUGUUCCUGUAGCAAACUGACCAUCUGUGCACACACACACUUAUAUGUAUAUACGUAUGUGUAUACAUAUUAUAUAUAUAUUUGCACUCUGUUCGAUUAGAGUAAGUACACUCAGAUUAAGUCAUUAGUCCAAACACUAUUUGUGCCACAGUAGACACAGAUGCCUGGUGAUACUGGGAAUUUUCCCCAGACAACUCCUUUAAAUAACUAACAAUUAUUUUUAUAUACUCACAGUUAAAUGCACAAAUAACAGCUUAUCAGUGAUUUAGUGUUCUUUACAGAAACUCAGAGAUUUCAGCAUUCUAUAAACUAUCCCUCAGCCUACAUUAGGCACACAUGAACUUCUUGUUCCCGUUAUAAAGUGAAGGGUCUAAUCAAUGUUCCUAAAUCUAAAUGGUGGAUUUAAAAAAAUGUAAAAUAAAUUGUUAAAUUUUAAUAGGAAAUGCUUUGUAUUUAAGAUUUGGCCAUAUCUUCUAAUAUUGAAGUGACAGAGUACCAAGAUUUAUUUUUCAUAAUCUCUUACUUUUUAUAGUCCACUUGGGGACACUACUCUUCUGUUAAGAGUCACUGACCUCCAUGUUCCUCACCAAUAAGAAAUCAUUUUUAAGUUACUUCAGUUGUUUUCUUCUAAUGUAAGUGGAGUGUGUGACGAUAUAGACAUUUGAUUUAAUAAAUAUUUUAAAAUUUAGCUCAACAUUAUAAUCGCCUAAAUGGGAUAGUAGAGGAAAGGGACAAAGAAAGGAAAUGUCAUAAAGAGAAUGAACUAGAGAGAGUUUGGUAGAAGAAAAAUUGCCCGGGAAGACCACAAAUUGUUUCUGAUUUUUACAGGAGCUUCUUUAAACACAUUUCUUCCUCAUUGGACAGUCACUGUCAAUCCCACUAUCCAAAGGCUGUCCAAAAGCAACCUCCUGGGGAUGCCUGAAACCACAGCACUUCCCCACUCUUCACUGGCUGUCAACAUCUCCAGGCUGUCCUAGACAUCUCAAUCCUUUCAUGCCACUGUGGGGCCAAUGAUGCUGUUAAUUUCUUCUCCUCUUUCUCAUCUCUUCACUUGGAAUGCCACUUUUUUCUUCAGAAAUGGCAGCGCACAGCAGCCAAGAGCAUGUGUUUUGGGGCACAGUCCAACAUUUACUAGUCAUGUAAUGUGACCUCGGGUAUGUUGCUUUCUUUCUCUGUGCCUCAGUUUCUUCAUUUGUAUUUAUUAACAUAUAAUAAUUGGGGUUAUUGCGGGUAUUACCUAAGUCAAUGUAUAUAACAGACAGCAUAAAAAACAGUAACUGCUACAGACUUGUUUGCUAUAUUUAUUCAACAAAUGUUUACUAAGCUCCAACAGGGUGCUAGGAACUGGGGAUACAACUGUGAUGGUAGCAAGUGAGUGAGAGAGUCCAACAUCUGAAGUAUCCCAGCUGAAAGGUUGAAUUCUGAAUUCUAUUUUUUUAAAAAAAGAUAACCUACCACAAUGUGAAAAUAAUUAAACUGCUGCUAUUUAACCACCAUAUAAUUAUCCUUAGAACUUGUUUUCUAUCUACUCAACUAGUCCCUAUUUCUUCAGAGACUGCUCUGUGUGCAUGCAUGCGUGUGCUCAUGUGUGUGUUGAUGGACAUGUCACCUAUAUUCAAAAAUACAGUUUUCUCUCUGCAGGACUAGAUAUUACAAAACACAGUUUUUUCAUUUGUUGAAUAGGUACUCAAUAUUUGUUUGCUGAGUCAGUAUAUAAAUCUACCUUUCAUAUGCUCUGGCCUACUCUCUAAUGCAUUUGAAGGUAGCAAAACAAUUCCAAGGGGCUACUUAUUACCUAAAGAAUAGGUAAGUGAAAUUCAGCCAUUGUCUUUUAGGUAGGAAGUUCCUGUUUUUAGACCUUGAGGCCAUCCCUCUUAAACUAUCCUCCUAGAUUAUAAAUCCUUUAGAGCAGAGAUGCCAUCCUAUUUUGUUUGGCACAUAUCACUCUAGAGCCUUUGUACUAUACAAAGUCCUUUAAAAGGACUUUAUAUAUUUAUUAUAUGAACAAAUAAAGUCUCAGAUAUGCA
rnacentral:lncRNA from 1 species